rnacentral:rRNA from 1 species
UACGAGUGCCCCGAGCGUUAUCCGGAAUCAUUGGGCGUAAAGGGUGCGUAGGCGGUUUUGUUAGUCUUCUGUCAAAUUCUUCGGCUUAACCGGGGGCUCGCAGAGGAAACGGCAAAACUAGAGGAUGGGAGAGGUGAAUGGAACUCUAAGUGUAGGGGUGAAAUCCGUUGAUAUUUAGGGGAACACCAAAAGCGAAGGCAAUUCACUGGCCCACUCCUGACGCUGAAGCACGAAAGCGUGGGUAGCGAAUGGG